AUGAGCGGCGGCGGUGGUGGCGGCUCUAGGGUUCCGAUCCCCAACAAUGUACGGAAUACCAUCAUUGACAUCAGAGAGAUCACCGGAAAACAGCACACCGACGACGAAAUCUACGCCGUCCUUAAAGAAUGUUCCAUGGAUCCCAAUGAGACCGCUCAGAAGCUUCUCUAUUUAG